rnacentral:rRNA from 1 species
GGUAACUACGAGCACAAGCUUAAAACCCAAAGGACUUGGCGGUGCUUUAGACCCCCCUAGAGGAGCCUGUUCUAGAACCGAUAAUCCCCGUUAAACCUCACCCAUUCUUGUUAUUUCCGCCUAUAUACCGCCGUCGCCAGCUUACCCUGUAAAGAUAUUAUAGUAAACAAAACCGGCUCAGCCCAGAACGUCAGGUCGAGGUGUAGCGAAUGAAUGGGGAAGAAAUGGGCUACAUUUCCUAACUUUAGGAAAUUACGGAGUAUAUAAUGAAAAAAUAUAUAAAGGAGGAUUUAGCAGUAAACAGAAAAUAGAGUGUUCUGUUGAAACCGGCCCUGAAGCGCGCACAUACCGCCCGUCACUCUCCCCGAAUCUGCUCACAAUACUUAAUUAAAACCCAAUAUUUGAUAAAGGGGAGGCAAGUCGUAACAUGGUAAGUGUACCGGAAGGUGCACUUGGAAAAAU